rnacentral:rRNA from 1 species
GACGAACGCUGGCGGCGUGCCUAAUACAUGCAAGUAGAACGCAGUUGCGAACGGGUGAGUAACGCGUAGGUAACUGCCUCAUAGCGGGGGAUAACUAUUGGAAACGAUAGCUAAUACCGCAUACUGUGAGAUGGACCUGCGUUGUAUUAGCUAGUUGGUGAGGUAAAGGCUCACCAAGGCGACGAUACAUAGCCGACCUGAGAGGGUGGUCGGCCACAAUGGGACUGGGAAACCGGCCCGACCCCCAACGGAGGCAGGCGUAGGGGAACUUUGGGAAAGGAAGGAAGUCUGAACGAGCAAAGCCGGGUGAGUGAAGAAAGGUUUUCGAUCGGAAAGCUUUGUUGGUAGAGAAGCGGUAACUAACCAGAAAGGGACGGCUAACUACGUGCCAGCAGCCGCGGUAAUAC